GGUGGUCUGGAAGCACAGGUUUCUUUGACAGUGGCCUUCAGCUCAUCUGCAUUGUUUGGUCUCUUGUUUCUCAUUUUCCUCUUGACAAUACUCCAUAGAUUCUCUCUGGGGUUCAGGUCUGGUGAGUUUGCUGGCCAGUCAAGCACACCAACACCAUGCCCAAGUUGCUUGAAGUCCAGUGUUAAGUUUUCUCAGUCUGUGAUGAUUUGGGGUGCAACGUCUUCUGCUGGUGUUGGUCCAUUGUGUUUUUUGAAAACAAAGCCACUGCACCCGUUUAUCAAGAAAUUUUGGAGCACUUCAUGCUUCCUUCUGCUGACCAGCUUUUUGAAGAUGACAAAAUUCCACAUGUGACCGCAAAAGUAAGUUAUUACAAACACUAUUUGGUGGUUUAAAGUGAGUUUUGAGUAAAAGUGUACUAAUAAUUUCAUAAAUUGUCUUAUGUAGCUUGAUGCUAUUGUUAGCGCUAAUGCAGCUACAUAACAGGUGCGAUUCUUCUUCAUAAAACAUUUUGUCCUAAUAAUUUACAUGAGGUCGUAAGAAAAUGUUUUGUUGUAUUUUUAUAGUAAGACUUUUGAUAAUAGUUGGGUAAAUGUAUACUGGGAUUGAAGUGACGUAGAUUGGUAAACCUUGAAAUACCACAACAAAGGCUAAUAAUGGCUUAAUAAAAACAAAAGAAUAAUGAUAAAAGAAUAAUGGGGAUAAUGUCUCAUACCUGGCCGAUGUGUGAAAGGCUCGUUUCGUGAGAACAAUAGAAUCAUGAAUGAGGCAGUUUGUGGAGCUAAACAUAUGGAGACAGCACACAGCAGAGCUUACAGGAGAUCAGAGGGGCCAUAAAUCAAUUUUAUUAGCCUUUUCUAAAAACACACAUGACAUGGCCUUAGAAAAUGUUUCAUAAAAUUCACAGUUUUACAGACUAUAUUAUGAAAUUUCAAAUGUAGCAUUAGUAGACUUGUGGCUUUAGCUACAUUAUGUUUCUAAAAUCAUAUCCUACAUUAACAAUUUUUUUAUACAUUUAAAAAAUAUGUUUUUAAUAUUUUUUAUUUUUGUUUUGUUUUUUAAAAGCGUCUGCUAAAUGACUAAAUGUAAA
ensembl:lncRNA